rnacentral:rRNA from 1 species
UACGGAGGGUGCAAGCGUUAUCCGGAUUCACUGGGUUUAAAGGGUGCGUAGGAGGGCAGGUAAGUCAGUGGUGAAAUCUCCGAGCUUAACUCGGAAACUGCCGUUGAUACUAUCUGUCUUGAAUACCGUGGAGGUGAGCGGAAUAUGUCAUGUAGCGGUGAAAUGCUUAGAUAUGACAUAGAACACCAAUUGCGAAGGCAGCUCACUACACGAGCAUUGACUCUGAGGCACGAAUGCGUGGGGAUCAAACAGG